rnacentral:rRNA from 1 species
AGGGAAUCUUCCGCAAUGGACGAAAGUCUGACGGAGCAACGCCGCGUGAGUGAAGAAGGCCUUCGGGUCGUAAAACUCUGUUGUCGGGGAAGAACAAGUGCCGUUCGAACAGGGCGGCGCCUUGACGGUACCCGGCCAGAAAGCCACGGCUAACUACGUGCCAGCAGCCGCGGUAAUACGUAGGUGGCCAGCGUUGUCCGGAAUUAUUGGGCGUAAAGCGCGCGCAGACGGCUUCUUAAGUCUGAUGUGAAAGCUUGCGGCUCAACCGCAAGCGGUCAUUGGAAACUGGGGGGCUUGAGUGCAGAAGAGGAGAGUGGAAUUCCACGUGUAGCGGUGAAAUGCGUAGAGAUGUGGAGGAACACCAGUGGCGAAGGCGACUCUCUGGGCUGUAACUGACGCUGAGGCGCGAAAGCGUGGGGAGCAAAC